rfam:Triticum aestivum genome assembly, contig: Triticum_aestivum_CS42_TGACv1_scaffold_320312_4BL
UAAAUACUCCAUCCGUCCCAAAAUACUUGUCGGAGAAAUACAUAAAAAGGGAUGUAUCUAGAACUAAAAUACGUCUAGAUACAUCCAUUCCCCCGACAAGUAUUUUCGGACGGAGGGAGUACUUG